rnacentral:rRNA from 1 species
CACGUAGGAGGCGAGCGUUGUCCGGAAUCAUUGGGCGUAAAGAGCGCGCAGGCGGCUUGGCAAGUCGGGUGUGAAAUCCCGGGGCUCAACCCCGGGACUGCAUUCGAUACUGUCAGGCUAGAGGUAGGUAGGGGAGAUCGGAAUUCCUGGUGUAGCGGUGAAAUGCGCAGAUAUCAGGAGGAACACCGGUGGCGAAGGCGGCAUCCUGGACCAAUAUUGACGCUGAGGAGCGAAAGCCAGGGGAGCAAACGGG